AUGUUCUGGUAGGAGAGCAUGUAGAUUCUCUCUGUGUGUGUGUGUGUGUGUGUGUGUGUGUACACGUGUACACGUACAUAUUCGGCUGUGUGUGUGUGUGUGUGUGUGUGUGUGCGCGCGCGUGUCUGAACGUGAGCAAGUUGAGGGAAAGUGGACGACAUAGCUCGCGCGCUAUUCCUACAAUUAUUUUUUUUACAAAGCCGAGGAGGAGAAAGUCGAAACUAUUAUGGUUUAUUAAUUUGGGACCUGGGAAACAAGCUACCAGGAUUGGCUACGUCGCUAGCAAACUAAGUGAACGCACAAUAACGAAGUUGGUUUUAGUUCAAAUUAGUCUUAAUCAAGCCUGUCACAUAACGGAUUUCGACCGCUAUUAUGUCAAGAUAUUUACCUGCACAAACUAUGGUAUUGGGGGCUGGUAUUGGGGGCUGGUUAUUCUCUUCAACAAAAGUUGAGUUUGUCAUCAUUGUGUGUGUGUGUGCGUGUGUGAGUGAGUGAGUGAGUGAGUGAGUGACUGUGUGUGUGUGAAUGUGUGUUACUGUUUGCUUUAGUAAGUCUGUGCCUUUUAAUGUGCAAACUGCUGUACAUUUCAAAGUAGUUGUUGCAUGGCUUCACACCAGCAACACAAAUAGCUAAGUGGAGAUAGAUAAGCCAUAUCCGUAAAAGUUCAGGAUGUUGAAGACUUUAACCAAGAAGCUAAGAAGACACUCGCUCAACGAGAUUCAUCCUUUUCAAUUUAAGAUUUCCUACCAUGGCAGUGGGGAGGGAGCGGAGAGCGACGAUUCCGAGGGGGAGAACCAGGAGCUUGCACAGAUUGACAGAGAGAGGCGGCGGAACUGCGGCCUCACCCCUCUGGCCACCAGCCAGCAGCACAAUCAGGGUCCCCUAUCUCCAGCACGCCUCCAUCACCUACGCCUCCUUCUAGACCCGACUCUGGACCAUCACUCGUCUGAAGAAGAGCUGGAGCGAAUCAGCCACGGCGUUGGAGACGGCAGGAAGUGGACGCUGCACCAUCGCCACGGUGACCACCCCAGCAGUGCCUCCAGCGACGAGGAGGUGUGGGACCUGUGUGGCUGUGGCCCAGUUGCAGCAUCCUUGGAGCCUGGGACUUGCCUGGCCGCUUCCACCAGCCCAGUGCUCUUUAGCUCAAGCCCACCUCGCAGCCUCAAGCCACCGCCUCCAAUUAAGCUCCAGUUCCAGGGGGUGCAGCCUGCUGCCAAGCCUAUCAUCUUGACCCACUUCGACCAGUCGGCGGCCCCCUAUAGGAAACACAGGCACAGCUAUGGGGGAGAUCUGGGGAGGCCAAGUCUGGACCUGGAGAAAAUGCAACAGAAAAUGCUCCUGAAAAAUAACUGUGGUGGGAAAACACGGACCAUAAAGAUCCGGCAAAUGGCGGGGAUUUGGGCAUGAUCCCUGGAAAGCAGUAUAUCCUUCUCAUCGGACUCGUUAAAGGAAAAAGCUUCUUCCAGUUUGAGAGCUUGACUGGGACUCGCCCUCUGCCCAGGUAUGCCUACGAUCCCUCAAUAUUUGCCUUCCGGUCCCUCAGCAGGGUCCCUCCUUGCAAUCCCUUGACUCCGUCUGAAGACCCCCCAUGUGUGUGAGGGAAUAACACCAACAAAACCACCCCUUCCUCACUUAUUGACUCUAUAGAAGACUCCCAGACUUCAUACUCUGAAGACGAGACUGAGCUAAAUAAUGAGUAUGGUAUGGUAUGACCGUUAGGACAACUUGACAAUGCCAAUGUUUGAAGGUCAAUAUUGUACUCUCAGAUAAUCCUGCUCUGUCAAAUUAUGCUGUUGCUCGGACAACUGGUUCACUUGACAGAACCAUCUAAGACACUAAGAAUGGGGAGAUCUUAACCCUGAUAUUGGAUGAUGAUGUGAGACGAGGGCAGACGGUAUGUGUGAACAACAAGGCUCCAAUAGAAAUUGCUUUGAAAAUACACCUCUUCACUCAAGCUCUCCGUACCAAGGACACUUCAGGUAUUUCAUACAUUAACGGCUGUCUUUUGGACACAUUUUCAAUGGAUGGUUGUUCUAAAAAUGAAUUAUCAAAAAUAUUUUUGAAGGACAAAACAAGCAUUCGAAAGCAUUCAAAGACCACUCCAAUGCGCUCGAUACAAGGGAAAUGUAUGUUGACGACAAUCAAAGGUCAAAUAAACGCAUGACAGGUUUGUUGUCUAGACCAGGGUUUCCCUAACCCGGUCCUGGGCCCCCCAUAUUUUAGUUUUUGCCCUAGCACUACACAGCUGAUUCAAAUAAUCAAAGCUUGAUGAUGAGUUGGUUAUUUAAAUCAGCCGUGUAGUGCUAGGGAAAAAAACAAAAAAGUGCACCCCAGGGCCCCCCCGCCGAGUUUGAGUAACCCUGGUCGAGACGGACAACAGCUCAUUAGGACAACUCAUGAACAGAGGCUUUCUUGACACAUUGCAAGAUGUACACUGCACGAUAUAAGUAAAGAGUCUAUAUUUCGUGAUAUCAACCAGCGCUAAGUGCGUCGAUACUAGGGUCGAAAUGGAGAUCAGCUUUCUCCAUUCAAAUAUUUCCAUAACAUUAUAAUUAUUUCACAAUACUGACGACGGAUCAGCUCCUUGAGAGAUAUUUCCAUCUAUGGCUGCAAAUAUUGAGCGGCGUAUUCUAAUGCUUUUAAUGCUUACCCAAUAAAAAUGCACAAAAUCACUGAUUUGGCACAUCAUUGCGCACAUGUUAGGCUACACAUCAUUAAAUAUAUUUAGAGACAUUAUAUACAGUAGCCUACAUGUAGCAAAAUAGAACUCAAUUGAUUGAACAUGAAAUGUUUUUCAACAUAUUAUUGAAAACACCUACAGCCUACUGUUUAUAUUUUAAUGCAGUCAUCUCGGUUUUCACUUUGAAGCAUAUUUUUAUACGUCGCUCGUUUGUAUCAACUGCAAAGACAAUUGCAAAUUCAUCUUUGUCGUGAACUUUGUUCUGAAGUUAUCGGCGGUCACAGAGAGAUCAGUCAACCAUGUGAUUCUAUGUUUAGCGGAGAUCUUCUGUUCAUUAAGUGAUGCUAGAGGGCAAAAAAAGCAUCUAAAGUUGCACUUGGCUAUUUUACGAGUGAUCUGAGUCAGGCGUUAGAUUACGAGGGCUUUCAAGUGCAAUGUUAAUGAUAGUUUUGGGAAACAGCUCAGAUAUUUAACGUUGCUCCUACAAAGGGUUUAACGAUGAACUUAGCUUUAAGAUGCUUUUGGGAAACCGGGCCCAGGUCAUGAGAUACUACGAAAUGUAUGACUAGUUCAAGAGGUAACAAUGUAACCCUCAACCUGUUGACGAGUUUGUGAAUAUCACCUUAAGAAGAAAACAGGAUAACAUCAAAUACUUUGUCCUCUUUUCCUGUAUGCAUUUCACUGUGCUGUGGUGCAGAAAAUAAAGGUAUAUGAGCAUGCAAGAAAGGGAGUAUAAGAAAUCUAUGAGAAUAUGACAUGAUUUACUGCUUUAAUUUCAGUGCUGUGUCAUGAGCUUGUGUAGUACGCUAUGCAACACCUUUCUAACUCUGUAUGUACCUGUAUGUACCUUUUCUUCGGUGGCACAUCGCCACAUGUAUGAGACAACCAAAGGUCAUCCCAAACGUCUCAUCGUUGUGCCUCUGAAUGACAUUCCUGAUGUAUUGAACGUUAAACUGAGGCUAGUCUUGACUGUAGGGUCGAUGUGCUAAAGUAAUCAGUGACCAGACAACCUAUUUAUGCAUAUGAAUGUAUCCCUUGAUGGACAUGCUGCGAUCAAAACAAUGUCACCAUAACCAAGCUCUGCUAGAGUGAAUGUUGUGCAGCGCUAUGACAUUUCUGUGUCCCUCGCAUAAUUUCUGAACAAAUAAAUGCUCUGUGGCAUCUUG